UGCACCCAAGGACACAGAUGCUGUGGUUACAACUGCUGCCAGGAGAUGACAAUCUUCUCCGGCCCCUUGAGGAUCUUCAUCAUCAUCUUCCUCGUCAUGCUGCCCCUCGUGUGCAUCUGUGGCCUGGCUAAGCGCUUCUGUAGCAAAUGCAGGGAGCUGGAGAGGGAGCCUGCAGAGGAUCACCAAGGGCUCCCAGGCCCACCCUCCAUUUCCCCGCAAGAGAGGGCCAUGGCACCGACCUCUGAGCCCCCACCACCCUACAGCGAGGUUAUUCUGAAGCCGGCCCUGGUCCUGCCUCCCACAGAGCCGCCCCCUCCCUACAGCUUCAGCCCUGAAGAGUAUGCUGGGGUGCGGAGGGGCAUUGACAACCCAGCCUUCUGAGCCCCUCCUCCAUCUUCUCGAGAAAGCCAGAGACUUCGGGGACUCCUGGAACAUCCCCAUCCAUCUUGCCACAUCUCUGGUUCUUCUUGGAUUUAACUUAUUGCUUUUUCUGCCCUCGUUCCUCUCCAUCUGCCUCUUAUCCUAAGGGCUGGGUGGAGCCACAGUAUCCCCUCUUCCAAGUUAGAGGCUGCCAGGAGGAAAAUAUCCACAGCUGAGGUCCCUGCAGUGGACUAGGCUGCUCUGCAGACUAGAGGCAGAGCUGUCACUGGAGACACACAGAUCAUGACUGGACAGCUAGCUCUGAUACCAUGGAGACACUUCUGUAUCCCGGGGAGGUUGCACGGGGUGAGCUCUGAGCCACCUUGAACUCCACCUGAAUGGAGAAGACCGCAUUGUACCCACCCCCAACACAUGCUCCAAACACAUGUGGUCAUUAAAUUUUAGCUGACUGUGACCAGAAU
rnacentral:lncRNA from 1 species